rnacentral:rRNA from 1 species
GAAUUAAUAAACUUUGGAAAAUCAUAGUUAUGAGGUAAAAAUAAUGAUAUGGAGGUGGAAUGGAGGUGACAUGAAGGUAGAAUGUGAAGAUAUUGGUGAAUAAUGGAGUGAAAAGAAGGAAUAUUUUGAGGCCCAACACAUACUACUCAGAUAACUGUAGUAAUUCUAGAUCUAAUAUGUGCACCAAGUCCUAACUCUUUGGAAGUGAUGCAUUUUUUAGAUAAAAUCGUGACGUAGGCUUGCUCGCUUCUCCAAUGAAUCAUGAUAACUCAACAGAUCGCACAACCCUUGUGCUGGCGAUGCUUCAUUCAAAUUUAUUCCCUAUCAACUUUCGAUGGUAGGAUAGAGGCCUACCAUGGUGGUGAUGGGUGAUGAAGAAUUAGGUUUCAAUUCUGUAGGGGGAGCUAGAGAAAUAGCUACCACAUCCAAGGAAUGUAGUAGGUGCAGAAAUUACCCAAUCCUGACAUGGGGAGGUAGUGACAAUAAAAACAAAUAUUGGGCUCAUCGAGUUUGGUAAUUUGAAUAAGUAAAAUCUAAAUCCCUUAACGAGGAUCCAUUGGAAGGAAAGUAUGGUGCCAACAUCAUAAUUCUAGCUCUGAUAGCAUAUAUUUAAGUUGUUGCAAUUAAAAGGCUCGUAGUUGGAUCUUAGGUCAUAAAGGUUGGUCCGCCUACUAGGUGUGCAUCUGUGCUACCAUCCCUUUUGUUGGUGGCAGGCUCUUGGCCUUAAUUAGCUAGGUCAUAGAUUUGACACUGCUAUUUUGAAAAAAUUAUAGUGCUUAAAGUAAUCUUAUGCUAUGAAUACAUUAGCAUGGAAUAACGUGAUAGGAGUGUGGUCCUAUUAUGUUGGCCUUUAGGACCAGGGUAAUGAUUAAUAAGGACUAUCGUGGGCAUUUGUAUUUCAUUGUCAGAGGUAAAAUUCUUGGAUUUAUUAAGGACAGACCAUUGCGAAAUCAUUCUCCAAGGAUGUUUUCAUUAAUUAAGAAUGAAAGUUGGGGGCUCGAAGACGAUUAGAUACCAUCCUAGUCUCAACCAUAAAUGAUGCUCACCAAGGAUAAAUGGAUGUUUCUCUAAGGACUCUGCCAGCAUCUUCUAAGGAAUUAGAGUGUUUGGGUUCCGGGGGAGUAUGGUUGCAAGGCUGAUACUUAAAGGAAUUGAUAGAAGGGCACCACCAGGAGUGGAGCCUACGACUUAACUUGACUCAAUGCAGGGAAACUUACUAGGUCUAGACAUAGUAAGGAUUGAUAGAUUGAGAGCUCUUUCUUGAUUUUAUGAGUGGUGGUGCAUGGCAGUUCUUAUUUGGUGGAGCGAUUUGUUUGGUUAAUUUUGAUAAAGAACAAGACCUUAGCCUCCUAACUAGCUAUGCGGAGGUUCCCCUUCAUGGCCAAAUUCUUAGAGGGACUAUGGCCAUUUAGGCCAUGGAAGUUUGAGGAAAUAAUAGGUCUGUGAUGCCCUUAGAUGUUCUGGGCCACACACACGCUACACUAAUGCAUCCAACAAGUUUUUCUUCCUAGUUCAAGAGGAUCAGGAAAUCUUCUCAAAUUGUGUCAUGAUGGGGAUAUACCAUUCCAAUUAUUGGUCUUCAAUGAGGAAUUCAUAGUAAGCAUGUGUCAUCAACUCGUAUUGACUACAUCCCUGCCCCUUGUAUACAUCGCCCAUCGCUCGUACUGAUUGAAUGAUCUAGUGAAGUGUUCAGUUUGCAUCGAUGAUGGUGGUUUGUCAUUGUCGACAUCGUGAGAAGUUCAUUGAACCUUAUCAUUUAUAGGAAGGAUAAGCCGUAACAAGGUUACCGUAGGUGAACCUGUGGUAG